rnacentral:rRNA from 1 species
UACGUAGGGAGCAAGCGUUGUCCGGAAUCAUUGGGCGUAAAGCGCGCGUAGGUGGCCUCAUAAGUCCGUUGUGAAAGUCAAAGGCUCAACCUUUGAAAGCCGAUGGAUACUGUGAGACUAGAGUACGGAAGAGGCGAGUGGAAUUCCUGGUGUAGCGGUGGAAUGCGCAGAUAUCAGGAGGAACACCGGUGGCGAAGGCGGGUCUCUGGGCCGUAACUGACGCUGAGGAGCGAAAGCAUGGGGAGCGAACAGG